rnacentral:rRNA from 1 species
AUGGAAAAGAUGCCCGAGCCGGACUGGUCGGACCUUCUGCCGGAGAUGGCUGGCGACAUCCUUUGUCGUCUACCCUCCCUGGCUGACCGCGCCUGCUUCCGCUCCGUCUGCCGUUCGUGGCGCCUCGCGGCCCAGAAGCAGCUCCCCCGGGCGUUCCCAUGGCUCACCACCACAUGGCUCGAUUCCGACAUGCUAGACUUCAUCAGCCUCCCUGACGGCGCCCUCCACCGCCUCCCCGCCCGCGUCGACACCAGCUGCUGCCUCCGUGAUUAUACCUCGGAGGAGUCGCUCGUGUACGAGUACCCCAGGGACGAGAGUCACGAGACCACCGGGCUCCUUUCCGCCGUGAACCACAUCCUCCUCCCUUUGAUCCUUUCUCGGAAGCCACCAUGA